GAUUAGAGAACAUUGGUGAAGAAGGGCACAUCCUUGGGCACCCAAGCUGGGAACCAGAAGGGCCAGGUCAGAGUUGAGAGACUGUCUGCUGGGUUUCUCACUUACCUUUGGCAACGUGGAGGCAGAAAGACAGAUUCUUUCUCAGACUUUUCUGGCAACAUUCUGAAUUCGUUCUCUGUGUGGAAGUAGAAAUGCCAACUAGGGGGCUUCGAACCUGGAGGAUUUAUCUCUGCGCUCUAUUUUCCUGUGUGCGCUUUCACCGCCGCCAACUACAGGACCCGCCCAAGUCCUCACUACUCACCCAAAGUGACACCAUCACCCCCCAGUGUGUUACCAAGUCAGGGUACCGCACCAUUCUGACUCAGUGAGAUGCACCUCAGCUGCAUUUGGAAGAGUCGCCAUCGCCCAUGCUUGGUUCCACGUUUCCUUCCUUCCCGUCUGAGGUGUUUAGGCUGGAUGUAACCAUGUGUGUGUCUGGUUACUCUGGAGGCCAGAAGAGGACUUUGGGUCUCCCGGAACUGGAGUUACAGCCAGUUGUGAACCAACAGUUUCUAUCUAAGGCGUGCCUACUCCGGCUUGCUGUGAACGGCUGCAACCUUCUCACCCAGAAUGCAUGCCAGAUCAUGUUGACUGCUCACUUGCGACCGACCUCCGUCAAUCAAGCCUGAAAAUACCCAUCCUCCUUUCCCAGCAUGCCUCGUCGCUAAGGUCUAGGGACGUGAUCUCAUUCUGCCCCAAGGAAUAAUAUGGUCACCAGGCAGCAGGAUUCUUAAGAAAGCAUUUUCCCCAUGACAACAAAGGAGCGGUUCUUUUCAUUUCUGCCUUGGAAUGUAGUUCUCCGAGGACGAGAGGCUUGGUGCUGUAGCAGUCUGCACCCUGGGUGGGGGCUGGUGGGGCAGGAGGGGCGGGGGGAACCUCAUGAGGAGAGCAGAGAGUAAGCCACAUUGCUGCUGUUCUCAAGUACAGAAACAGCCUAGGAGCCUUUUCUCCAGGUUUCUGGGCAUGUGAAAUAAGGUAAAACUCCCUUGAUGCCUAUGUUGUAUUUGGACAGGGUAUUCUGUCUUGUGCAAGUGAAAUACUGUAAAUAAUUCAGCAUGCUAUGUUCACAUUGCUUA